AUUGUUGGAAAAUUAUUGGAACACAGCAAGUUUCAUUGUUUCACAUCUAAAGGUGAAUAUUCUUAACUUCAAUUCUAUGUUUAUGUUGUAUAAAUUUCCUACUGAAUUGAGCGUCGGAGUACCUUUUUUGUUUAUUGCAGGUCUCUCCUUCUCAAGCCUAGACAUUUUCAAUUUGGAGGGUUGUCGAAAUAGAAUGCUGGUGAGGUUCUAUGAACUGGAGGCUGGGAAGACAAAAUGCAAAGGCAGUCAUGUAACUUAUAUGAACUGAAGGCUACAACGGUGGAUGGAAAAAACAGUCUGAUAAAACUUCAGCUGAUGAGAUUCCAGUAAUGAGUACACAUAUUUAAUUCAAGGAUCCUCUCUGUGCAGCUUGUGUGACCCCAAAUAUUACAAAGGUUUAGAGAAGUAGUACCUGUGACAAAAUAUGAUCCUAGCUUCUACCCCAAAUUCAAGAAAUAUGAUCAGCAGCAACAUACACAUUACAAAGGUUUAUAGACAAUUGUUCUUUACAUCGAUCUUGAGUGAUGUGGUUGCACUCGUGUCAAACAAAGCUUGUCGCAAUAAGUACUGUUUUCAAGGUCUGUAUAUAUUAUGUAGUGAACCUACUCCUGAAUUUUCUUGUACAAGUAUUUUUUAAUACCGACAGGAGUUUCUUCAACCCCUUGUUGCAACAAAUUUCCAAGUACUUGAGGAAGCUCUGCAUAACAUCUAGUUAAACAAUAACGUAUUUAUCUGUUUGGCACUAAUUAAAAUAGGACGAGUUCUCUUUUCUGGUA